AACGAACGCUGGCGGCAGGCUUAACACAUGCAAGUCGAGCGCCCCGCAAGGGGAGCGGCAGACGGGUGAGUAACGCGUGGGAAUCUACCCAUCACUACGGAACAACUCCGGGAAACUGGAGCUAAUCCCGUAUACGUCCUUCGGGAGAAAGCUUUAUCGGUGAUGGAUGAGCCCGCGUUGGAUUAGCUAGUUGGUGGGGUAGUGGCCUAACAAGGCGACGAUCCAUAGCUGGUCUGAGAGGAUGCUCAGCCAAACGGGGACUGAGACACGGCCCAGACUCCUACGGGAGGGAGCAGGAGGGAAUAUUGGACAAUGGGUGAAAGCCUGAUCCAGCCAUGCCGCGUGAGUGAUGACGGCUCUAGGUUUGUAAAGCUCUUUCGCAGGUGAAGAUAAUGACGGUAACCUGAGAAGAAGCCCCGGCUAACUUCGUGCCAGCCGCCGCAGUAAAAC
rnacentral:rRNA from 1 species